CAACAUCCUCACUAAGCUUGCUUUGAGAUACACCCAGGUUGUCACAGAACCGAGGAGACAAAAUUCAUUUGUAGCAGAGUGCAUGCUGAUUAUGUCUACUAUUAUACACUUGGGGAAAUCUGGCCUUUCUACACUGCCCAUCAAUGAUGAUGCCCUGGAUCGCAUUGCCCUGUGUUUGAAAGUGCUUUCUGAGAGAUCCCCCAAGAUGUACGAGAUCUUCAACCAGCUGUGCAGAGAAUCCUUGUCAGGCAUGCUGGCUGCCAAGGCAGAAGAUGAGAGGCUCACACAAAAGGCAUCUGAAUCUAAAACUGA